UUAAGUUCAGCGGGUAGUCCUACUCGAUUUGAGGUCAAGUUGUCAGAGAGUGUCCGAAGACAGUUUAUGAAGCACAGAGCUCCCAAUCAGCCACCCUCUUGCGAGGCGCCGGCGAAGACACUUAUCACGCCGUACUAUGUCCAACCAGGAGGUGCACUAAUGCAUUUGAGGUGAGCCGCGCGCAGUAAGAGCUGCAGCAG
rnacentral:misc_RNA from 1 species